rnacentral:rRNA from 1 species
AUUGAACGCUGGCGGCAGGCCUAACACAUGCAAGUCGAGCGGAUGAAGGGAGCUUGCUCCUGGAUUCAGCGGCGGACGGGUGAGUAAUGCCUAGGAAUCUGCCUGGUAGUGGGGGAUAACGUCCGGAAACGGGCGCUAAUACCGCAUACGUCCUGAGGGAGAAAGUGGGGGAUCUUCGGACCUCACGCUAUCAGAUGAGCCUAGGUCGUAUUAGCUAGUUGGUGGGGUAAAGGCCUCCCAAGGCGACGAUCCGUAACUGGUAUGAGAGGAUGAUCAGUCACACUGGAACUGAGACACGGUCCAGACUCCUACGGGAGGCAGCAGUGGGGAAUAUUGGACAAUGGGCGAAAGCCUGAUCCAGCCAUGCCGCGUGUGUGAAGAAGGUCUUCGGAUUGUAAAGCACUUUAAGUUGGGAGGAAGGGCAGUAAGUUAAUACCUUGCUGUUUUGACGUUACCAACAGAAUAAGCACCGGCUAACUUCGUG